UACAGAGGUCUCAAGCGUUGUUCGGAUUCAUUGGGCGUAAAGGGUGCGUAGGCGGCGCGGUAAGUCGGGUGUGAAAUCUCGGAGCUUAACUCCGAAACUGCAUUCGAUACUGCCGUGCUUGAGGACUGGAGAGGAGACUGGAAUUUAUGGUGUAGCGGUGAAAUGCGUAGAUAUCGUAAGGAAGACCAGUGGCGAAGGCGGGUCUCUGGACAGUUCCUGACGCUGAGGCACGAAGGCCAGGGGAGCAAACGGG
rnacentral:rRNA from 1 species